UUAAAAUGUGGCAGGCAGGCUGAUGGAAGGUAUCGUGUUGGUGCACUACACACUAUAGCUAUGAAUAACACAGAUACAGACACUGCCUCCAGAUGUAGAGAUUGCCUCCGGAAUCUCUAAAGCAUAGUUCUAGUCUCUUGUCCUUCAUUAUUUCAGGUACCACUUUAGGUAUGUAAUUCUCUCUUGUAGACUCAGUUUCUCUAGGUAUAAAAUUAGGAGGCAGAAUGAGAUGAUCCCAAAGUGUUAGCAUCUGACCUCUUAUUAAUUAAAUAUUUCUUUUAUCUCCCACAGUCCUAAAUUUCUAAGUUCUCAAGAGAAGUCCAUUGCUAUUUGGUUUGUAGGAAUAAAAUAGAUUGAAACCUCAUUCUGAUACAGGUCCAGGUUCCUGGGGAUUGACACCACUUUCUUGGGGAAGAUAUCUUUGCCUGAUUGGAUAUAUUCAUUUGAAAGUAAGAUAACUUAGAGGAAAUGAGAAAUAAAGAAUGUCAGGUUCUAAAAAUUUUUAUUAUGUAAGUGUCGAGGCUCAUCUCAGGGAGUAUUAUAUCAGUCUUUUGAGAUUCUUUUCCUGUAUAGGCGGCAUAACUAAAAGUUCUUUAUCCCACAGCUAUGAACAAGGACAUCACUCUCAUAGGAGAUUUCUAGCUAUUCUAUUUUUCUACGCAGCACAAAACUUGAUUAUUUCUUUCUCUGGAGACAACUUAAUGACAACUAAUAGUAAUGCUACACAGAAGCACUGCUGAUUUCAGACCUGGCAGGACUCCUGUUUAAACAUACUUCCCAGAAAUCUUGGGCAGUUUGCCACGGUAAGGAAACAAUUUACGUCAGAUUUUGAGCGGGGGAAUCCGUCAGGGGUAGGGAGGAAGGCGGGGGUGGGUUGUUAAGGGUGGUAAGAUUGAGGGUUUUCACAGACCCUACAGCUGAUCAUUAUUUCCCUGAUCCACUGGAAGGACAGAGUGGUUAUUAUUCCUCUUUGGCUUACCCUUGCCUCACAGGCUCUGCUCUGAAAGUAAUGGCAGCCUGAAGAUUCCUUUGGGGAUACCAAAUGAGUCUGACUAUGAUGCUGUAGAAUUUUCCCCUUUUUCUUUCUGGCUGUCUUGAUGAUUUGCCAUAAUAAAGAUAUUUCUUUUUAUUAAUUUUCUUUAGUUCAAGACUGGGAUUGAAAUGACCUCAGAAAUGAUUUAGUCAGAGCUGUUCCUAUUGGAGGAAUUAUCUGUAUAGCAACAACAAAAAAUCAUUCCCUAUUCAGUAAAUAUUUAUUAAAUGGGCAGAUGUUGUUAGUAUUCUGACUAAUGUUCAACUUCCUUUCCUUUUGUCGGGCUAGCAGCUUUCUCAUGUGAUUUCUGUUUUGUUCUGAGAGGGAGCAUUAUGUGCAC
rnacentral:lncRNA from 1 species